rnacentral:lncRNA from 1 species
CUUAGGGCUAAGAUAGAGCAGCCAAUGAAGAACCUUGCCUCCAGGGCAGAGAUCAGUGUUUUUUGGUGAGAGUUCUCCGUGAACAGCAGUGAAAUUGCUCUGGUGGCAUGGUGGGGAACAUGCUGGAAAGUUUUCUUUUAAGGUGCUAGGAAAAUCUGUUCAUGGGGAGGUGUCUUGCUGGAGACACUGCUCUAUGAAACUGCCUGGGAGGUGCCAUGGGAAGCUGCUGGAUGCUGCUGGCCGCCAUGCACUGCAGGAGCCCGAUGCCAGCAAAGGUGUGCACCACAGGAGCUGGCAAUACAGGAGCUACCUGUGCUGCAGGAACCAGCCCAGAGGCCCCACAGAACUGUUUCAGUUACCUGCAGUCAACCAUGGUCUGAAAAUAUUACAUGGAAAAUUCACUGCCACAAUGUCUACAUCACUCAUUUCACUUCAUCUCCUCACAUACCCACUGUAUUAUCUCACGUCACCACAAGAGGAAAAAGGCCACAGUGCUAUCCAGAGUCCAAGGAAAGGAAACAUAAACUUCACCUUCAGCUAGGAGGAAUGUCAAGUCAUCUUGUGAGAAGAGGAAGUGGAAUGGGAAGUAUUGUUGAAGCCAGUUUUGGAAAUUACAAUGUGCCACCCCAGAAAGAAUAAGAAAAUAUGGAUGAUGAGAACUGAAUUCAACAAGUGUUUUAUGCAGGCAGUGAUUUAUUACAAGAGAUUCAGCUUGCAAGCCUGUGGAAGGACUGAUGAGUGUUCUGUCAGGGUCUCUAAGUGACUCCCAGAGCAAUAAAUUUCUAUUAGAUCAAGGGAGCAACUGCUCUGAGGCUGCCACUGAAGCCACAUGAGAAUCCAGAAGAUAUAGAAGCCACCACUGCAACUUACCUCUUGAUACACAAGAAUCUGGAGAAUGGACUCUCUUAGUUACAAUCCCAGCAUUAUGAAGAUGGAUAAAGAAGAUGCUGCUGCAGCUGCUGCAGCCACAGCUACUUCCAGACACACAGUAAAGGUGAAAAUAGGCUCUCACCUCAAGGGAGUUUAGGAACAUCCAUACCAUUUAGCUUUCCAAUUUCUCCAAAAGAAAGACUGUGGGAUGGAAUGGAGUGGCUAAAUCCACAGUGACCUUUGUAGGGGCACCUUCAUUUGGAUGUUCCACAGGUUCUUCAGUCAACUUGUCCAUAACCAAACUCAUCCUCCUCCUACAUUCCAUAAAUCCACUCUUUUUUUUGUUAUUGAAUUGUGUAUCAUAAUGAAUAGUAUCAUUACUAGUUUUAUAAAUUAUAACUGUUUCAUUUCCAGUGACUCACCUGCCCUUCAUGCCACUCUUCAAUCUCUAUUGUAAUAUAGUUCAGUUGAAAUGACCUCUUUAACCUCCUUAGUCUUGUCUUGGUUCUGAAUCUAAUGCCAGUGGCUUGGAUUGGGCCUUCUAAUAUUUUAAGUGACCUGUUGAAAUAACCUACAAAUUUCUGUUUAUCAUUUUAGCUUUGCUCUCUCCUAAUCUUAUCUCUAGACAUUGCAUCAGUUGAUAUUUCUAAACAAAACACUGAUUAUGUCAUUCUCCUUUAAAAAUCUUUCCAAAGCUCCUCAUUGCCUUCAGGAAAGUAGACCAAUUUCUUAUCAUUGCCUAGAGGACCUCAUGACCUGAUUAUGACCAGUCCCUCUAACCUCUCUUCUCACUUCUCCUCAAUCAUGCUCCGUGGAGCAAGUAUACUGACCCAUUUAAAGCACCAAGUCAGUAUCUUCGUAAAUACUUCCCUGUGUAACUGAAAUAUUCUGACCUCCCUCUGUCAUGUCUCUUCACCUAAGAUUUUCCUACCUCUAGAAGUCUCCUUGUUGAUGGAUCACCUAUUCCUAGUCAAGAUUAGGUACCACCCUAUGGUUCAUCUGCAUAUUUUAUCACUCAUAUAGCAUGUAAUCAUUUACUUCUACACAUAUCCUCAUUGAACUGUAGACUCUCUGUAUCUGCCUUUCACCUCUGUAUCUCUAGUGACUAACACAGAGCUUAGAGCAUAGCGUUUUGUAAAUGUCUGUGUAAUGAAUGAUUGAAUAAAC